AUUGAACGCUGGCGGCAGGCUUAACACAUGCAAGUCGAGCGAGCGGCGGACGGGUGAGUAAUGUCUGGGAAACUGCCUGAUGGAGGGGGAUAACUACUGGAAACGGUAGCUAAUACCGCAUACCAUCAGAUGUGCCCAGAUGGGAGUAGCUAGUAGGUGGGGUAAUGGCUCACCUAGGCGACGAUCCCUAGCUGGUCUGAGAGGAUGACCGGCCACACUGUAACGGAGACACGGUCCAGAAUCCUACGAGAGGCAUCAGUUGGGAAUAUUGCACAAGGGGCGCAAGCCUGAUGAAGCCAUGCCGCGUGUGUGAAGAAGGCCUUCGGGUUGUAAAGCACUUUCAGCGAGGAGGCGUUACUCGCAGAAGAAGCACCGGCUAACUCCGUGCCAGCAGCCGCGGUAAUUC
rnacentral:rRNA from 1 species